rnacentral:rRNA from 1 species
UACAGAGGGUGCAAGCGUUGUUCGGAAUUAUUGGGCGUAAAGAGCUCGUAGGUGGUUUGUCGCGUUGUUCGUGAAAACUCACAGCUUAACUGUGGGCGUGCGGGCGAUACGGGCAGACUUGAGUACUGCAGGGGAGACUGGAAUUCCUGGUGUAGCGGUGGAAUGCGCAGAUAUCAGGAGGAACACCGGUGGCGAAGGCGGGUCUCUGGGCAGUAACUGACGCUGAGGAGCGAAAGCGUGGGGAGCGAACAGG